rnacentral:rRNA from 1 species
CAAUAAGCGGAGGAAAAGAAACUAACAAGGAUUCCCCUAGUAACUGCGAGUGAAGCGGGAAAAGCUCAAAUUUAAAAUCUGGCGGUCUUUGGCUGUCCGAGUUGUAAUCUAGAGAAGUGUUAUCCGCGCUGGACCGUGUACAAGUCUCCUGGAAUGGAGCGUCAUAGAGGGUGAGAAUCCCGUCUUUGACACGGACUGCCAGUGCUUUGUGAUGCGCUCUCAAAGAGUCGAGUUGUUUGGGAAUGCAGCUCAAAAUGGGUGGUAAAUUCCAUCUAAAGCUAAAUAUUGGCGAGAGACCGAUAGCGAACAAGUACCGUGAGGGAAAGAUGAAAAGAACUUUGGAAAGAGAGUUAAACAGUACGUGAAAUUGUUGAAAGGGAAACGCUUGAAGUCAGUCGCGUCGUCCGGGGAUCAACCUUGCUUUUGCUGGGUGUACUUUCCGGUUGACGGGUCAGCAUCAAUUUUGACCGUUGGAUAAAGUUCAGGGGAAUGUGGCAUCUUCGGAUGUGUUAUAGCCCUUGGUCGCAUACAACGAUUGGGAUUGAGGAACUCAGCACGCCGCAAGGCCGGGAAUUUAUUCCACGUUCGUGCUCAGGAUGCUGGCAUAAUGGCUUUAAUCGACCCGUCUUGA